UACCGGCGGCCCGAGUGGUGGCCACUAUUAUUGGGCCUAAAGCGGCCGUAGCCGGGCCCGUAAGUCCCUGGCGAAAUCCCACGGCUCAACCGUGGUGCUCGCUGGGGAUACUGCGGGCCUUGGGACCGGGAGAGGCCGGGGGUACCCCCGGGGUAGGGGUGAAAUCCUAUAAUCCCGGGGGGACCGCCAGUGGCGAAGGCGCCCGGCUGGAACGGGUCCGACGGUGAGGGCCGAAGGCCAGGGGAGCGAACCGGAUUAGAUACCCGGGUAGUCCUGGCUGUAAAGGAUGCGGGCUAGGUGUCGGGCGAGCUUCGAGCUCGCCCGGUGCCGUAGGGAAGCCGUUAAGCCCGCCGCCUGGGGAGUACGGCCGCAAGGCUGAAACUUAAAGGAAUUGGCGGGGGAGCACUACAAGGGGUGGAGCGUGCGGUUUAAUUGGAUUCAACGCCGGGAACCUCACCGGGGGCGACGGCAGGAUGAAGGCCAGGCUGAAGGUCUUGCCGGACGCGCCGAGAGGAGGUGCAUGGCCGCCGUCAGCUCGUACCGUGAGGCGUCCACUUAAGUGUGGUAACGAGCGAGACCCGCGCCCCCAGUUGCCAGUCCCUCCCGCUCGGGAGGGAGGCACUCUGGGGGGACUGCCGGCGAUAAGCCGGAGGAAGGGGCGGGCGACGGUAGGUCAGUAUGCCCCGAAACCCCCGGGCUACACGCGCGCUACAAUGGGCGGGACAAUGGGACCCGACCCCGAAAGGGGAAGGGAAUCCCCUAAACCCGCCCUCAGUUCGGAUCGCGGGCUGCAACUCGCCCGCGUGAAGCUGGAAUCCCUAGUACCCGCGUGUCAUCAUCGCGCGGCGAAUACGUCCCUGCUCC
rnacentral:rRNA from 1 species